rnacentral:rRNA from 1 species
UAAGGAAUAUUGGUCAAUGGGCGCAAGCCUGAACCAGCCAUGCCGCGCGCAGGAAGACGGCCCUAUGGGUUGUAAACUGCUUUUGUCAGGGAAUAAACCCCCGCUCGUGAGCGGGGCUGAAGGUACCUGAAGAAUAAGCAUCGGCUAACUCCGUGCCAGCAGCCGCGGUAAUACGGAGGAUGCAAGCGUUAUCCGGAUUCAUUGGGUUUAAAGGGUGCGCAGGCGGAUUGGUAAGUCAGGGGUGAAAUCCCACAGCUCAACUGUGGAACUGCCUUUGAUACUGUCAGUCUAGAGUAUAGUUGAAGUGGGCGGAAUGUGUCAUGUAGCGGUGAAAUGCUUAGAUAUGACACAGAACACCGAUCGCGAAGGCAGCUCACUAAGCUAUAACUGACGCUCAUGCACGAAAGCGUGGGGAUCAAACAG